rnacentral:piRNA from 1 species
UGGAGGACCAUUCUAGACAGUGUGGCCGU